GACGAUAAUAAUCUCGCUCUCUUGUUUGAUCAUGAUGUGCCUGAAAAUUCUGGCAAUGAUUCUCUGGCUGCUCUGGCUGGUGAGGUCUAUAAACUCUAUGAGGAGAAUAACAAACUCAAUUUUCCUCAUCGUUACGACAAACAGGCUGAGGCUGAGAAUUCCAGACCCUUGAACAAUGUUGGGGACCGAUCAUAACGUAAGCCUACGAGUAUUUCUCUUUGCUGGAACAGCACAAGCAUGC
rnacentral:misc_RNA from 1 species